rnacentral:rRNA from 1 species
CACGUAGGGUGCGAGCGUUGUCCGGAAUUAUUGGGCGUAAAGAGCUCGUAGGCGGUGUGUCGCGUCUGCCGUGAAAACCUGCAGCUCAACUGUGGGCUUGCGGUCGAUACGGGCAUCACUGGAGUUCGGCAGGGGAGACUGGAAUUCCUGGUGUAGCGGUGAAAUGCGCAGAUAUCAGGAGGAACACCGGUGGCGAAGGCGGGUCUCUGGGCCGAUACUGACGCUGAGGAGCGAAAGCGUGGGGAGCAAACAGG